ACCAACGGUCGCUACUCAACAACGACUUAACAGUGUCCACCUUCGGUUUAUCAUCGGCUAUACGCAACUUCUCCUACCUCCUCUCUACCGCUACAUCAUCCGCUACUGAUACGCCAAUAAAUCCAGAAUAUAGUGUAGCGUUUAGAAAGUCCUUUAGCAAGCGAAGUAUAAAAAUAUCGAUUAACAUUUGAAUUUGAGAAAGAAUUUGAGGAUUCUCAGACUCAUUUAGAGAUGGAAUUUAGUAGUUGCGAGUUUCUCAUUUCUUAUUUUGAAGUUGUCACCAGAUAUUGAAUUUUUUAACGAAGUAAUAGUAUCGAUAGUAAAAGAAUUCGUCUGAAUAUAAAGAAACCAUUGCAUGUUAGUACCAUUUUUAAUAAAAAAAUCUUUCAGGAGAUAAUUCAUAAAAAUAUCGAUUGACAUUUGAGAAGAUCGAAAAGCAUUCAUCAGUUGCUACAUACGAAUGCUUAUGGACUUUGGAAAAUUUUACAUCUUGUUAUUAUCUCUUGGAAUCGAAUUACUUUACGAAGUAAUUGUACUGAAGAUAGAAGAUCGUAGGAAAUUAUUAUAUAUUAAAAAACCCGUGAAUAAGAAGAACGAAAGAAAAGAAGAAAUACAUUCUGUGUAACGCCAAAAACUUGUAAUAGACAUCAGGAGAGCAGUACGCGUAUAAUCUAAUCUAAUCUAUUCGAAUUUUUUGUAGACAAUGAGUGCAAUUGUAACAGUAUUUGCAAUGACACAAAUAUGUUAUCGUUCCUUCCUACUCGUUAACAUCGUAUUUAUCCAUCUGUAAUCUGCGUUUGUGUUAAUUUAAAGGGACUUUGUGUUGCCAUAGAGAAUUUCCAAGGUGAUAAUAAGUAGUGUGGAGAAAAAAAUGAAAAAGAAUUUGUAUCGUGGGACGAAACGUUGAAACAACUUUGGAGUAACUGUGAAAAAAAAAGAAAAGGGGAAUCGAUCCCCAUGGAGGAAUAAUAAUGGCUAUUUAAGAGCAAUCGCGACGAACGCCGCGCGAAUACUGGGACAAACGAGUCUCGAGAAAAACCGAUCGAAUACAGCAGCUUCUGGUAAAUGCGUUUCGUGACCUCGUUAUCGAUACGAAGUGUCAAUCGAUGACCGUUCCGGCUACGGCAUGCAAAUUCUGAUUCUUUUCUUCGCGUAAACAAGCUUAUAUUCCGAUUGAACGUUACUUUCUGAACAAUCGAUGCGUUUUACGACUAACGAGAGAAACAUAGUAUACAUUUUACGUACAUAUUUGGUUCAUGGAAAAGUUGUGAUCACCAGAUCUUCUUCUAUAAGAGCUUCUAUAAAAUUUACAAGUUUAUUUAGAGAUUAAGACAGAUGACAGAUAGUUGAACAGAUAGGAUUAACUAUUCAUCAUUGAACAUAACUAAAAGAAUUAACAGAUAAAAUAAUAUUUGAUAUCGAACUAUAAUCUAUAAGAAUAGUAUUUAUUCAAGUAUAAAAAGAUGACAUAAUAUUGCUAGAAAGAAAUUAUCGGCUAUUGAUAAUAAAUUAUUUUAUGAUAGAAUGUA